rnacentral:lncRNA from 1 species
GUAUUCCACUCUGUUAAACUAAAUGUUUAACUACCAGAAACUCUACACUAUACACUUACAAUCAAAAUAGAUGCUUAGUUAUCAGGAGACUUAGAAUCAAGAGGCCUGUUAAAUCAAGACUAUAUGCUAACAAGGUGAUUACGGUAGAUCGGAAUAAGAGUUGUGAUACGGCAUCGAAAGGCUUAAAGAAGUGGCUUAUUUUAUCAGUUAAACUAAACCAAGAAAUGUUGUUCGGGUUUAUCCCAUACUAAAGCUACCUUUGUAAAACAUGGGUUUAUUCCCAUCUGUUUAAUAAAUAAAAAAAAUCCGGUGUUUCAAA